rnacentral:tRNA from 1 species
GGAGAGGUACCGAAGCGGUCAUAACGGCACCGACUCGAAAUCGGUUGAGCCUCGAAAGAGGCACGUGGGUUCGAAUCCCACCCUCUCCGCCA